rnacentral:rRNA from 1 species
UACGUAGGGGGGCAAGCGUUGUCCGGAAUCAUUGGGCGUAAAGAGCGUGUAGGCGGCCCGGUAAGUCCGCUGUGAAAGUCGGGGGGCUCAACCCUCGAAUGCCGGUGGAUACUGUCGGGCUAGAGUGCGGAAGAGGCGAGUGGAAUUCCUGGUGUAGCGGUGAAAUGCGCAGAUAUCAGGAGGAACACCGAUUGCGAAGGCAGCUCGCUGGGACGUAACUGACGCUGAGACGCGAAAAGCGUGGGGAGCAAACAGG